rnacentral:rRNA from 1 species
AUUGAACGCUGGCGGCAUGCCUUACACAUGCAAGUCGAACGGCAGCACGGGGGCAACCCUGGUGGCGAGUGGCGGACGGGUGAGUAAUGCAUCGGAACGUGCCCUGAAGUGGGGGAUAACGCAGCGAAAGCUACGCUAAUACCGCAUAUUCUGUGAGCAGGAAAGCAGGGGAUCGCAAGACCUUGCGCUUUGGGAGCGGCCGAUGUCGGAUUAGCUAGUUGGUGGGGUAAGGCCUACCAAGGCGACGAUCCGUAGCGGGUCUGAGAGGAUGAUCCGCCACACUGGGACUGAGACACGGCCCAGACUCCUACGGGAGGCAGCAGUGGGGAAUUUUGGACAAUGGGCGAAGCCUGAUCCAGCCAUGCCGCGUGAGUGAAGAAGGCCUUCGGG